UAUCAAGAAGUCUCGGAUCAUCUUCUCCAUUCUGUCGUGACUCCAUAGCCAAAGAAAAUUGAUGAUAUGAAGAUCGUGAUUGAAAACAAAUCGAACCAAAAGAAAAGGAUUAAGUUCGAGGGUGCAAGGAAGAUAGUAAUUAAAGUGCAGUGAGGCAACAUGUAAAGGGAAAUCAACAGAGGAGUACGGAGCCAGGUAAAGCAUCUCAUAUUUUGAAAUGCAGUUUAGACGACAAGAAUCAAUAUGACAUUUUUAUGAUAUAUUGAUAUUUCUUAGUUGACAUGUACAUAUUUAUAUUUUGAUUCUCUAAUUUGAUAUGUUUGAACUGCUUUUGAUUUAAACUCUAUAU